rnacentral:snoRNA from 1 species
CUCCUCUAUCAGGGUCGCACCUGGAGAGUUUCCAGUACUCUACCAGUCUAGGCUAUGGGAGGGAGAGUCAAGCAGAGGUCUGUAUAUUUCAUUCCUAGCUUGGUCAGUGGCUAGUGAGUAGAAGGCAAUCUGCUACAAGU